rnacentral:rRNA from 1 species
CCUACGGGAGGCAGCAGUGAGGAAUAUUGGUCAAUGGGCGAGAGCCUGAACCAGCCAAGUCGCGUGAAGGAUGACGGCCCUACGGGUUGUAAACUUCUUUUGUCAGGGAGCAAAUGAGUACACGUGUGGUCUUAGCGUGAGUACCUGAAGAAAAAGCAUCGGCUAACGCCGUGCCAGCAGCCGCGGUAAUACGGAGGAUGCGAGCGUUAUCCGGAUUUAUUGGGUUAAAAGGGUGCGUAGGCGGAAUAUCAAGUCAGAGGGAAAAAUUCGGGGCUCAACCCCGUCGUGCCGUUGAAACUGAUGUUCUUGAGUGGGCGAGAGGUAUGCGGAAUGCGUGGUGUAGCGGUGAAAUGCAUAGAUAUCACGCAGAACUCCGAUUGCGAAGGCAGCAUACCAGCGCACGACUGACGCUGAAGCACGAAAGCGUGGGUAUCGAACAGGAUUAGAUACCCUUGUAGUC